AACCAAGGAGUGUGGUGAUACUGGUAUGGCAUACAGGUGAGAUGUAGGGGUACAUCAUCACUGAACAGGUGACUUACCUGCUGAGCAUUCUGCUGUCAAGAGCGGCUCGCAAAAUAUAUGGAUAUAAGUAUCCUUCAGACUAGAGAUUACUAUAGUAACUUGCAAGCAACUCACUGUGCAUUGGUGCCGAACUACCUAAAUUUCUAAUGC
rnacentral:lncRNA from 1 species